rnacentral:lncRNA from 1 species
CGAGCACCAGAGAGGGGGAGCGGGAGCAGACAGCCGCCACCUGGCGUCCUACCUGGGCGAGCCCGAUGGGCUGGCCAAGGCAUGUGAGCCGGCCGAGGCGCGGGAGCCCGGUGAGCCGGCCGAGGCGCGGGAGCCUGGCGAGCCAGCUGAGGCAUCCCCGGUUGCUUCGGCAACGGCACCUGGACCCGACGUCACCAAGAAAAAGCAAAAAACGAAAAACUCCCUGAUGCUUCCAAUAGUGGUGUCUGCAUUCUUUAACGGUUCCGUAUCUACAGACGCUGGGCGACGGGAAGCAAGUACAGGCAAAAGCAUAUACAGUCGACCCUCUACCUCCCCAUUGCCACCAGCUGAAGAUCACAUCUUCUGAUCCUCUUUCACCCAGCUGGAGGAGUUCUGAUUCUAGCUUUCCAUCAAAUGGCUACCUGCCAUUCUGCCGCCUGGCUCCGGGGAUCAUCCUCCGGAAGAUGGGUUCAUCACCAAAAUAUAUUUUCAUUAACUUUCACAUUUGCAUUCAGUUUUUGUUGUUCAUUCAGUUAAGCCUGUAUUCGAUUGAACUAAAGUACAUUUAUAUCAUAUGAAGGUUCUCAAAGAAAUCCAUUUGUCUCCUAAAAUAAACCUUUUUGAAGAAAAUUACC